rnacentral:rRNA from 1 species
CCUACGGGAGGCAGCAGUAGGGAAUCUUCCACAAUGGACGAAAGCCUGAUGCAGCAACGCCGCGUGAGUGAAGAAGGGUUUCGGCUCGUAAAGCUCUGUUGGUAGUGAAGAAAGAUAGAGGUAGUAACUGGCCUUUAUUUGACGGUAAUUACUUAGAAAGUCACGGCUAACUACGUGCCAGCAGCCGCGGUAAUACGUAGGUGGCAAGCGUUGUCCGGAUUUAUUGGGCGGAAAGCGAGUGCAGGCGGUUCAAUAAGUCUGAUGUGAAAGCCUUCGGCUCAACCGGAGAAUUGCAUCAGAAACUGUUGAACUGGAGUGCAGAAGAGGAAGGUGGAACUCCAGGUGUAGCGGUGGAAUGCGUAGAUAUAAGGAAGAACACCGGUGGCGAAGGCGGCUCUCUGGUCUGCAACUGACGCUGAGGCUCGAAAGCAUGGGUAGCGAACAGGAUUAGAUACCCCUGUAGUC